AGCGUCAGUUGAGAAACCGUCACCCCACUUUUAGGACAAAGGCUUGGAGGUUGGUCAUUCCUAGUUUCCUCUGAUCAGCCUUGGAGAGGUUGUGGAAGAUUUACAACAUCUUGAAUCUGAAGGAGUAAAAAGCUGUUUAGAUUGGAAAAAGCAGGAGAGUUACUGAGCAGCUCUUCAGAACUCCUCUGGGGGUUGACAGAAAGUAGCUGUUGGGAGAACCAGCCAGUAACUAAAACAGACAGAGUUGAUCAUUGGCUGAAAGGAAGGAGGUUUGGCAGACCUGUAUAAUUAAGUUUAUAAUUUUUGGAAAUUAUUUGGAAAUUGGUUUCAUGAGUUAGAAUUCAUAAUUUAGAUAGAUUAGUGUAGUUUAAGCAAGAUCACUAUUAGUGAUCAAGAAGCAUUCCCAUGAGGGAAAGUUGGGUUGUGGGAAUGUAUAUAGAAUUUAUUAGUUAAUAGUGAAGCAUUUAUCAAUACUUAUUUCCUUUUACUUUCUCUCUUAUGCAAUUUAAUAGUUAUAAUAGUUUUUAUAUAAUUGACCUAAGCAGAAGUUUUCCUUCACUGCUUGAGCAGCCAUUUUCCUCAACACCCUCAAAGGUCAACCUCAAGAGCCUGUCUACAAGUGACAAAUAUUGGUAUUGCCAAUACCAAUAAUCCCCUUUUCCACAACCCAGCAGCCCAAUGAAAGUGCUUUCUCCCUCCUCUGUGUUGGAGAACCAGGUCAAAUUUAUAAGACUACAAAAGCCUUCCCAAAUCAAAAAAUGGUCAAAUGACAUGAACAGCUCUCAAAGAACCAACUCUGCUAGUGCAUAAGCUGCAAUUACUUUCAUUGUGUGCAUGUAUCUGUAGUACAUACAAUAUACACACAUGUCAUAUGUAACACACACAUGUGUGUGUAUAUUUGGCGAAUACUUGCCAUGAGUACUAUAAUAUGAGAUGAUCCUGUAAAAUGUUUUCUGUUGCCUUUUGAAGUACAAUAAAAUCAAUUCCCUCACCCUUUAAAGAAAUUUUAAAUUUUUUAAAGAAGUACCU